CAGGGAGCCUGUAAGCACCUGGGACCCUCAGAAUAUCUGUGUGUCAGCGUACUUUAUUCACCGGUCAUUGGGUCAGGGGUCUGCAAGGGACAGACUCCCCACAGCUGGUGACCCCUCGAGAGGAGCCCUGCCCCCAGCUGGUGCCCCAUGUGAGGCGCUGUGUGAGGAACUGUGUGAGGAAUGCUGUGAAGGAAACGCGACGAACCGCCCGAAAACGAAGACAGACAGAACAGCAUGUGGAGACUCACACAGUGAAAUUUUCCUCCAAGAAGUACUGCAUGAACAUACCAGGAAAACCAAAAGAAUUCACAGGACCUUUGAAAGAAGUGGCUUGCCGCUGCAAACUCCAUGAGACAGC
rnacentral:lncRNA from 10 species